rnacentral:rRNA from 1 species
AGUAUAACAGAACUGUGGGGACGCAGAGGGAGAGCACUAGCGGGAAUGGAAUCCCGCGGCAAGCGAGGUAGGAGUCGCGCUGGCAAAUCCGCGUGACAAUCCGAAGACGUGAUGCAUACCGAACUGAAGUAGGGAAAUGUGUGAGCCAGCUGCCAAGAAAAGCCGCUAUUGUUUGUACUGUACCCGUACCGUAAACCGACACAGGUAGGUGAGGAGAGAAUCCUAAGGCCGACGGGAGAAGCAUUGUUAAGGAACUCGGCAAAAUGACUCCGUAACUUCGGGAGAAGGAGUGCCAGUGAGAGCUGGCCGCAGAGAAUUGGCCCAAGCAACUGUUUAGCAAAAACACAGGUCUAUGCAAAACCGUAAGGUGAAGUAUAUGGGCUGACGCCUGCCCGGUGCUGGAAGGUUAAGGGGAGAGGUUAGCGCAAGCGAAGCUUUGAACUUAAGCCCCAGUAAACGGCGGCCGUAACCAUAACGGUCCUAAGGUAGCGAAAUUCCUUGUCGGGUAAGUUCCGACCCGCACGAAAGGCGUAAUGAUUUGGGCACUGUCUCAACAAUGCACCCGGUGAAAUUGAAAUACCAGUGAAGAUGCUGGUUACCUGCGCCAGGACGGAAAGACCCCAUGGAGCUUUACUCCAGCUUGAUACUGGGAUUCGAUAUUGUAUGUACAGGAUAGGUGGGAGGCGAAGAAGCAUUGACGCCAGUUGAUGCGGAGCCGCUGUUGGGAUACCACCCUUGCAGUAUUGGAUUUCUAACCAGCAGCCGUGACCCGGCUGGGGGACAAUGUCAGGUGGGGAGUUUGACUGGGGCGGUCGCCUCCGAAAGGGUAUCGGAGGCGCUCAAAGGCUCCCUCAGAAUGGUUGGAAACCAUUCGAAGAGUGCAAAGGCAGAAGGGAGCUUGACUGCGACACCGACGGGUGGAGCAGGUACGAAAGUAGGACUUAGUGAUCCGGUGGUAUAAAGUGGGAUUGCCAUCGCUCAACGGAUAAAAGCUACCCUGGGAUAACAGGCUUAUCACUCCCAAGAGUUCACAUCGACGGAGUGGUUUGGCACCUCGAUGUCGGCUCAUCGCAUCCUGGGGCUGAAGUAGGUCCCAAGGGUUGGGCUGUUCGCCCAUUAAAGCGGUACGCGAGCUGGGUUCAGAACGUCGUGAGACAGUUCGGUCCCUAUCCGGCGUGGGCGUAGGAUAUUUGAGAGGAGCUGGCCUUAGUACGAGAGGACCGGGCUGGACUGACCGCUGGUGUAUCUGUUGUUCCGCCAGGAGCAUGGCAGAGUAGCCAAGUCAGGAAGGGAUAAACGCUGAAGGCAUCUAAGCGUGAAGCCCCCCUCAAGAUGAGAUAUCCCAACGUAAGUUGUAAGACCCCUUGAAGACGACAAGGUAGAUAGGGCAGAGGUGGAAGUGCAGUAAUGCAUGGAGCUGACUGUUACUAAUCGGUCGAGGGCAUAACCAA